UACGGGGGGGGCAAGCGUUGUUCGGAAUUACUGGGCGUAAAGGGCUCGUAGGCGGCCGUGCAAGUGGAAGGUGAAAUCCCUCGGCUCAACCGAGGAACUGCCUUUCAAACUGCAUGGCUUGAGUCCGGGAGAGGUGAGUGGAAUUCCCAGUGUAGCGGUGAAAUGCGCAGAUAUCAGGAGGAACACCGAUGGCGAAGGCAGGUCUCUGGGCCACUACUGACGCUGAGAAGCGAAAGCAUGGGGAGCGAACAGG
rnacentral:rRNA from 1 species